rnacentral:siRNA from 1 species
GAGUGUCGAUGGACACACUC